rnacentral:rRNA from 1 species
AGCAGCCGCGGUAAUUCCAGCUCCAAUAGCGUAUAUUAAAGUUGUUGCAGUUAAAAAGCUCGUAGUUGAAUUUCGGGAUCAAUUAAUCGGUCGUGCCUCUGGUACGCACUGGUUUUAUUGGUUUCUCCCUUCUGACGAACCAGGAUGUCAUUAAUUUGGUGUCUUGGAGAAUCAGGACUGUUACUUUGAAAAAAUUAGAGUGUUUAAAGCAGGCUAACGCUUGAAUACAUUAGCAUGGAAUAAUGAAAUAGGACGUUUGAUCCUAUUUUGUUGGUUUCUAGGAUCGACGUAAUGAUUAAUAGGGAUAGUUGGGGGCAUUAGUAUUCAAUUGUCAGAGGUGAAAUUCUUGGAUUUAUUGAAGACUAACUACUGCGAAAGCAUUUGCCAAGGAUGUUUUCAUUAAUCAAGAACGAAAGUUAGGGGAUCGAAGACGAUCAGAUACCGUCGUAGUCUUAACCAUAAACUAUGCCGACUAGGGAUCGGAUGAUGUUAAUUUUUAAUGACUCAUUCGGCGC